GUCCCUUUUUGCUUUUCCAAUAAUCCUAUUUAAUUUGACCGUCUUUGUUUGCCAGGGAAGUUGCCUGGAAAAGUGGUUCCUUCCUGGUAGUAAAAGCGAAGUGAAUGCAAUUUUCAGGGGAAAAACAUUUAAUUAUCCUGUAAGCAUUUGGUUUUCAAGUAAUCUUUUGAGAGGAAUACUAGAAAACAGAAAAUUUUCCCUGUUCACUUUUUCAUGUUUGCCAUUCAAUUUGUAUUAGUUUUGGAUAUGGAGUGGAUGAAACUCUUAUACAAGGAGAGAGAGUUUUAUUUGAUGAUGUCUGCAUAACAAUAUUUCUAUAGAAAGGAAUUCAAAGUGAGAGAGUUCUUGAAAAAAAGUGAUCAAUGGAUUCUGCCUUCUUAUUUAUUCUUUUCUUCUCUUCCAUGUUUCUGAGCAUCCAAGCUUUUCAAGCCAACUGCCUCAUUCUCAAGUGCGGGGAUGGUGCUCCUGAUAUUCGUUUUCCUUUCCGGCUAUCAGGCCGGCAGCCCCAUCACUGUGGUCGCCCUGCUUUUGAACUUUCUUGCAAAGACAACACCACCAUGAUUCGCUUUCCAAGUUACGGAGAAUUGGUUGUGAAAUCCAUCUCCUACGAUGUCAGAAAACUCCAUCUUCUUGAUCCCAAGAACUGUGUUCAUCAAGUGUUUCUUAAUCUUAAUCUCUCUCACACUCCAUUCAGAUAUUACUAUGUUAUCAAGAACUACACAUACCUCAAUUGUUCAACUAGGCUUCCACCUUCUUUUUCAGAGGUUACAUGCUUAAGUGAUUCUAGGCAUCACGUUUACACCGUAGAAUCUUCUUUGCUCCUGCCAGAAUCCUGUAGGCCAGUGAAAACUGUUGCCAUUCCAUUUUCAUAUAGUCCUUAUCUUGCUGAUAACAGUUUUGGCCUCGGGUUGACUUGGAGCUCUCCUGGACCUGAUGAAGAUUGUGAAGCAAAAGGAGGUCAGUGCAAACUCCAAACAGGAUAUUCCACCACAAAACCGGAAAAAGGCUUUCCAAUCAAGUACUUGAAUUUAGGUGAUAUCUCUUCCAAGUUCUUGAUGGUUCUGUUAUGUAUCUUGGCAGUGGUACUGCUAAUAAGCAUAAAGAUGUAUCAUUCAAAGAAAGUGGAUAUGCAGCUUGAAAAUGAGAAUCUGCUUGAGGUUUUGAGAUGCUACAAAGCUCAAGAAAACAUGUAAUUAUGAAGAAGUAUCAUGUAAACAGAGGAGAGAAAUCCACUUGUAAUUAUCCCUCACAAAAAUAACAAAAAAUGCAUACAAGUAGGAGGGGUAUUGUCGUUGGUAUCUUUUAAGGCAGGUUUGCCCCAUUCUGUGUUUAGCAGCAAAAUGGAAGGGGAAUAACCUGGAAUAAAAAUUUUGUACUUAGAACUAUGUAAUUCUAUUCCAUUUGGGUUUUAACUUUUUUUCCUCUUAAUUAUUAAAAAA
rnacentral:misc_RNA from 1 species